rnacentral:ncRNA from 2 species
AGCAGCCGCGGUAAUUCCAGCUCCAAUAGCGUAUAUUAAAGUUGUUGCAGUUAAAAAGCUCGUAGUUGAAUUUCGGGAUUGACACAUCGGUCGUGCCUUAAGGGGUAUGAACUGGUGUAGUCAAUUUCUCACCUUCUGGAGAACCGCGAUGCCCUUAAUUGGGUGUCGCGGGGAACCAGGACCUUUACUUUGAAAAAAUUAGAGUGUUUAAAGCAGGCAUUUUGCUUGAAUACAUUAGCAUGGAAUAAUAAAAUAGGACGGCAUGAUUCUAUUUUGUUGGUUUCUAGGAUCACCGUAAUGAUUAAUAGGGAUAGUUGGGGGCAUUAGUAUUCAAUUGUCAGAGGUGAAAUUCUUGGAUUUAUUGAAGACUAACUACUGCGAAAGCAUUUGCCAAGGAUGUUUUCAUUAAUCAAGAACGAAAGUUAGGGGAUCGAAGACGAUCAGAUACCGUCGUAGUCUUAACCAUAAACUAUGCCGACUA